rnacentral:rRNA from 1 species
UGCCAGCAUCCGCGGUACUACUUAUUGGGCGAGCGUUGUCCGGAUUUAUUGGGCGUAAAGAGCUCGUAGGCGGUUCAACAAGUCGGUCGUGAAAGUUCAGGGCUCAACCCUGGGAACUGCAUUCAAUACUGUCUGACUGGAGUAUGGGAGAGGGCAGUGGAAUUCCAUGUGUAGCGGUGAAAUGCGUAGAUAUGUGGAGGAACACCUGUGGCGAAGGCGGCUGCCUGGCCCAAUACUGACGCUGAGGUGCGAAAGCGUGGGUAGCGAACAGGAUUAGAUA